UAAACAUUAUAAAUAUUUAAACUUUAUACUACGGGUGAAAUUUUAUAAUUGACUGUUUGGGUUGAUAAGAAUUUACGAUAGAAGUAGGAGUUAAAUCCUAGAAUGACAAUCAAAAUAUAAUUAUACAAUUAAAUACUACCACGAGUGAAAUCCUAUAAUUGACGAGUUUGAAUCGAUAUUAAUAUGGGAUGGUUUACUACGGGUGAUAUUUUAGAAUUGACUGGUUUGGGUUGAUAAUAAUUUGCGAUAGAAUUAGGAGUGAAAUCCUAGAAUGACAAUUAAAAUAUAAUUAUACAAUUAAAUACUACCACGGGUGAAAUCCUAGAAUUGACGGGCUUGAUUCGAUAUUAAUAUGGGAUGGUGUACUACGGGUGAUAUUUUAGAAUUGACUGGUUUGAGUUGAUAAUAAUUUGCGAUAGAAUUAGGAGUGAAAUCCUACGAUGACAAUUAAAAUAUAAUUAUACAAUUAAAUACUACCACGGGUGAAAUCCUAGAAUUGACGGGUUUGAUUCGAUAUUAAUAUGGGAUGGUGUACUACGGGUGAAAUCCGAGAAACAACAAUCAAAAUACAAUUAUACAAUAUUAAACAUUUAACAAAAUAAACAAAUACAACUUAAAACUUUAAAAUUUGAGUUAUAAAAUUUCGUCUCGCGGUGAAUUAUACAUUUAAAUCAAACAAUAGCAUAAAUUUAUUAAAUCAUCCUAAAAAUUAUUUAA
rnacentral:sRNA from 1 species